rnacentral:lncRNA from 1 species
GGCGGCCCCAACUUGAGGGGGGCGAGAGGUCCAUACAAGCUCUGGGCUCAGCCAGAGCAGGGCAGAGAAGGGUCACAGGAUGAAGAGGACAGAGGGCAGAGAGACGACCGGAUGGGAUGACCAGCUGCAGAGAGGAGUACCCUCUCCACUGAGAACAGCAGAAGGCAAGACAACCUGUCCACAGAGAGGAGCUACCCUCUCUGCUGAGAGCUUCAGAGACCUGCAGAGACAUCUGAAUGACCUGCCUGCAGAGAGCAGCUUCCCUCUCUGGGGCCUCCUCUCUGCUGAAAGCUGAACACUCGAGAGACGACCUGCCUACGAGAGGAGCCACCCACUCCUCUGAGCUGUUCUGACACUAAAUACAACUUUU